rnacentral:misc_RNA from 1 species
AUAUGCACUUGCUAAUGCAUUCUCUAUUCUCCAUUUUUGAUAAUUUUUUCUGCUUGGUUCCAUUUAGAAGUUCUACUUUGUUCUUUAUUGGUUGUUUGUUUCUAGACUCUUAUGUUCUUUAGUUCAUGUGUUCUCUAUAUUCUCAAAAAAUUUUGGUUGUUUGUUUUGUGUUCUCUCAUCUCUACAAUAUGGAAAAAUGCCCAAGGCCAAUAAACCGAACCGAAUAAAAAUUUUAGUUUGAUUCAGUUUGAUUCUAUACAAAGAAUCGGAUUAAUUCGG